rnacentral:rRNA from 1 species
GAUGAACGCUGACAGAAUGCUUAACACAUGCAAGUCUUUGGCGAAUCUGUGCUUGCACAGGCUAGCCAAGGCGGACGGGUGAGUAACGCGUAAAGAACUUGCCCUGCGGACAGGGAUAACAGACGGAAACGACUGAUAACACCUGAUACAGUUGCCGGCACGCAUGUGCCUGGCAAUGAAAAGAGAUGCUGCAGGAGAGCUUUGCGUCCUAUUAGCUUGUUGGUGAGGUGACGGCUCACCAAGGCGAUGAUAGGUAGCCGGCCUGAGAGGGUGAACGGCCACAAGGGGACUGAGAUACGGCCCUUACUCCUACGGGAGGCAGCAGUGGGGAAUAUUGGACAAUGGGGGCAACCCCGAUCCAGCAAUUCUGUGUGCACGAAGAAGGUUUUCGGAUUGUAAAGUGCUUUCAGCAGGGAAGAAGAAAGUGACGGUACCUGCAGAAGAAGCGACGGCUAAAUACGUG